rnacentral:rRNA from 1 species
UACAGAGGUGGCAAGCGUUGUUCGGAAUUACUGGGCGUAAAGGGCGUGUAGGCGGCCUUCUAAGUCAGACGUGAAAUCCCCCGGCUUAACCUGGGAACUGCGUCUGAUACUGGAGGGCUUGAGUGCGGGAGAGGGAUGUGGAAUUCCAGGUGUAGCGGUGAAAUGCGUAGAUAUCUGGAGGAACACCGGUGGCGAAGGCGGCAUCCUGGACCGACACUGACGCUGAGGCGCGAAAGCUAGGGUAGCAAACGGG